UAGACAUAAGCUGAGGGCAGGACAGUAGUCUCUCCCCGUCCAUGCAGCAGAGCAGAGGACUAUACUGUAGAAGCAGGAUACAUGGAGACCGGCUAGAGGUGGGGCCCACCGAUCACUAAACUACAAGGCUUGCUGUAGGAGAAGUCCGCUGACUGGCACACAGUGGAGGGACUGGCUGGUACCAGGAUUGUUCCAGCUUGUGUGUGGGUGCAGCACUCCCGCUGUGUAUAAGGGGGAACAGACCACAAGAGGACUGUGUGUGCGCUCCAGGGCAUCGCCGCUUUAAAUGCAAGCCCCGAGGUCAUUUACACAGUUCAAAAAGGAAAGAAGCUUUCUUCACAUGGGAAGCAGCCUCUAGUAUAUGGAUUUCAAGAAUAAUAACACGAAAUUUAGCACAGAAAAAAACAUGAAGAAUUGGAAUUGGAAUAUUUGGGGAACACCUGCUUUUACCUGAAGAAGACAAUACGGAAUUAAAUCCUUGCAGAACACUUGAAGUUUUCCAUUGGAGAAAUCAAAAUUUAUACAUAGUAGAUAUAAUGGAUUUAGUUUUUAUGACCCACUAGUGGAUAAUGAAUAGGUCACUAACUUCAAGAAUGAAUCGGCCAUUGCUACCUGGGGCUAAGUUGUGCCUUUUUAGGACACCCAGAUCUCUGUGCCAUGAGUUUGUUGGUGGUUACUGCCUUCUUGGGCUUUAUUCAGAGAGAAGGGUUAUAAGGGCAUGGCACAUAAACUAACAGAAGGUUGUCAGUUGUCACAGCUAGCAAAAGUUAUUGAAAGAAAAUUGUCAGGGCCAAUAUGCUGUUGGUGAGUGGUACAAAAUCACGCCAGUGUAAUUUUUUUUAAAAUAAUCAUAUAAUAAAAUGCUUGUAAGUCAAGUCACACAUUCUAUAUUCUAUUAAUAAAUACUGUC